CUUCUGCUCUGAUUUUCCCUAGUCAAAACUGACUAAGGCUUGUUUGCAGGUUUUCAGUGACAGGACUCGGGGAGAUGGACUGGCAAGAGGUGAAGUGUGAACCAAGCCUCCAUGGCAGGGCUGGUGUUCUAAUCAGGGCUGGGGAACUUUCUGCUGGGAAGCUGUCAGUGAAGCACACUUGUGAAAGACACAGAUGCACGUGAAUCCUGCAGUUGCUGAUAGACUUGUGAACAUGAACAUAGAAGCUGAUUGCACCUGGAGCACUAUGCAUACAUUAUGGACUUCCUACUAUGAUCUGUGGCAAUGAAUAGAGAAAAGAGCAUUUUAAAGAAGAGAUUCCAAUCUUUCAUUUUCUUUAUAAUUGUUUCUUUGUAUUACUCUUUGUAUUACUCAAUAAAGUUAACAACCCAAGAACUAC